CCUACGGGUGGCUGCAGUGGGGAAUAUUGCACAAUGGGGGAAACCCUGAUGCAGCAACGCCGCGUGAGUGAUGACGGUCUUCGGAUUGUAAAGCUCUGUCUUUGGGGACGAUAAUGACGGUACCCAAGGAGGAAGCCACGGCUAACUACGUGCCAGCAGCCGCGGUAAUACGUAGGUGGCGAGCGUUGUCCGGAUUUACUGGGCGUAAAGGGAGCGUAGGCGGAUUCUUAAGUGGGAUGUGAAAUACCUGGGCUUAACCUGGGUGCUGCAUUCCAAACUGGGAAUCUAGAGUGCAGGAGGGGAGAGUGGAAUUCCUAGUGUAGCGGUGAAAUGCGUAGAGAUUAGGAAGAACACCAGUGGCGAAGGCGACUCUCUGGACUGUAACUGACGCUGAGGCUCGAAAGCGUGGGGAGCAAACAGGAUUAGAUACCCCAGUAGUC
rnacentral:rRNA from 1 species